CCAUUUUCUUAUUCUAGGGUUAGGAUUUUAUUUUCCAUUUCCGAUCUUUUCUCCCUCUUUCUUCUCCGCAAGAGGGAAAGCAUCGGUGUUGACAGUGAUUCCAUCAAUGGGGGCGAUUCGAGUGUCAGCAGCAAGUUUGUAGACAGUGAACAAUUUCAGAGGUGGGUUAUAAGCAUAAGAUUACGAGGAGGAGGGAGAAGGGCAUCAAGAGGAUAUAAACAGUGUGGCCACCUAUUGAAAGCUUGGAUCUCACACCCGUGUGCCAUAUUGGCAUGUAUGCUUGAAUUUGGAUGAGUAACCAUUGAGGAAAUUUCCGGCUUGAUGUGACUUCAAGAUUAACACUCAAUUCUCUACUAUGUCUCUGCAGAAAUUUAUCAAGCAACAAGCUUACAGGAUUCAUCCCCUU